rnacentral:rRNA from 1 species
UACGUAGGGUGCGAGCGUUAAUCGGAAUUACUGGGCGUAAAGCGUGCGCAGGCGGUUGGUUAAGUCUGAUGUGAAAGCCCCGGGCUCAACCUGGGAAUGGCAUUGGAAACUGGUCAGCUGGAGUGUGGCAGAGGGGGGUGGAAUUCCGCGUGUAGCAGUGAAAUGCGUAGAGAUGCGGAGGAACACCGAUGGCGAAGGCAGCCCCCUGGGCUAACACUGACGCUCAGGCACGAAAGCGUGGGGAGCAAACAGGAUUAGAUACCCUGGUAGUCCACGCCCUAAACGAUGGCAACUGGGUGUUGGGGAAGCGAUUCCUUGGUACCGCAGCUAACGCGUGAAGUUGCCCGCCUGGGGAGUACGGCCGCAAGGUUAAA